rnacentral:tRNA from 1 species
GCGAGAAUAGCUCAAUGGUAGAGCGUGACCUUGCCAAGGUCACGGACGAGGGUUCGAUUCCCUUUUCUCGCU